rnacentral:rRNA from 1 species
ACGCUGGCGGCGUGCCUCAGACAUGCAAGUCGAACGCGAAAGGCCCCUUCGGGGGCUGAGUAGAGUGGCGCACGGGUGAGUAACACGUAGGUAAUUUACCUUCGGGUGGGGAAUAACUCAGGGAAACUUGAGCUAAUACCGCAUAAUGCAGCGGCACCACAUGGUGACAGUUGUUAAGGCGGGGGAUUCUUCGGAACCUCGCGCCUGAAGAGAAGCCUGCGGCGGAUUAGCUUGUUGGUGAGGUAAUGGCUCACCAAGGCUACGAUCCGUAACCGGCCUGAGAGGGCGGUCGGUCACACUGACACUUGAAUACGGGUCAGACUCCUACGGGAGGCAGCAGUCGGGAAUUUUGGGCAAUGGGCGAAAGCCUGACCCAGCAACGCCGCGUGAAGGAUGAAAUCCUUCGGGAUGUAAACUUCAUAAGAACGGGAAGAAUAAGUGAAAGCGAACACCUUUCAUGAUGACGGUACCGUUAGUAAGCUCCGGCUAACUCCGUGCCAGCAGCCGCGGUAAUACGGGGGGAGCAAGCGUUGUUCGGAUUUACUGGGCGUAAAGGGCGCGUAGGCGGCCACCGCAAGUCACUUGUGAAAUCUCCGGGCUUAACUCGGAAAGGUCAAGUGAUACUGCGGGGCUAGAGUGCAGAAGGGGCAACUGGAAUUCUCGGUGUAGCGGUGAAAUGCGUAGAUAUCGAGAGGAACACCUGCGGCGAAGGCGGGUUGCUGGGCUGACACUGACGCUGAUGCGCGAAAGCCAGGGGAGCGAACGGGAUUAGAUACCCCGGUAGUCCUGGCCUUAAACGAUGAAUGCUUGGUGUCUCGGGUUUUAAAGUCCCGGGGUGCCGUCGCUAACGCUUUUAGCAUUCCGCCUGGGGAGUACGGUCGCAAGACUGAAACUCAAAGGAAUUGACGGGGACCCGCACAAGCGGUGGAGCAUGUGGUUUAAUUCGACGCAACGCGAAGAACCUUACCUGGGCUAGAAUGCCUCUGACAACCCCGGAGACGGGGCCUUCUGGGUAAAACCAGACAGAGUGCAAGGUGCUGCAUGGCUGUCGUCAGCUCGUGUCGUGAGAUGUUGGGUUAAGUCCCGCAACGAGCGCAACCCUUAUCAACUGUUGCCAGCGGGUAAUGCCGGGAACUCGGUUGAGACUGCCGUUGACAAAACGGAGGAAGGUGGGGAUGACGUCAAGUCCUCAUGGCCUUUAUGUCCUGGGCUACACACGUGCUACAAUGACGGUGACAAUGGGCUGCCGCGUCGCGAGACGUAGCGAAUCCUAAAAAGCCGUCUCAGUUCGGAUUGCACUCUGCAACUCGAGUGCAUGAAGCUGGAAUCGCUAGCAAUCGCGGAUCAGCUUGCCGCGGUGAAUACGUUCCCGGGUCUUGUACACACCGCCCGUCACACCAUGGGAGCGGGUUCUGCCAGAAGUAGUUAGCCUAACCGCAAGGAGGGCGAUUACCACGGCAGGGUUCGUGANUGGGGUGA